AUUAAACAGCCGUGUUGGGCAGGGCCAGACUGCUGGACUGACAGUAGGGGGCAGGCAGCCGGACCCUCUGAGCUCCCCAACGGCACCAGCGCCUGCACGGCCUCAGCCCAGGGGGUCAUUAGGGAAGCUCUCCCCGAUUCUGUGCAGACAGAGCUUCCUCUGUCCACCCUUGCUCGGCCAGAAUUGUGUGCCGCUGGUGACUGGCACCCCUCUAUUCUAGGGCCAAGGCCUCUCAGGGGUCUACAGAUACAACUAUGGCCUUCCUAACAGGCUCCGGCAGGCGUUAGGGCCUUCCUAAGUGCUACCCGAAUGCGUGUCCAGUGGGAGGAGAAGGGGGAGGACCAAGAACCUAGAUGAAUGGCCCUAGAGAGACCCCUCUGCCAUGAACCAGUCCAUCCCAGUGGCUCCCACCCCACCCCGCCGCGUGCGGCUGAAGCCCUGGCUGGUGGCCCAGGUGAACAGCUGCCAGUACCCAGGGCUUCAAUGGGUCAACGGGGAAAAGAAAUUAUUCUGCAUCCCCUGGAGGCAUGCCACAAGGCAUGGUCCCAGCCAGGACGGAG
rnacentral:lncRNA from 1 species